AUUCCUUACCUGUAUUGUUGUUCGUGGUAUUUUUUCCAGAUAUUCUCGUUAAUUCAGUUAAAUAUAAGCAAAUACAUUUAUUGCCUAAUAUAUUUUAAUAUGUAAAUAUCUUGACUGACACAAAAACUUAGUGUUUUACCCUAAAAUACUGCAUAAAAUCUCAACUUAAAAACGUCAUAGUUCAAACCACGUUAGAAAUCGCCAAAAAAUGGGCGGAAAGGCAGAAAAAGGGACUCCAAAGUACAUAGCGAACAAGAUAAAGGCUAAGGGCUUGCAAAAGUUGCGAUGGUACUGUCAAAUGUGCCAGAAACAGUGUCGAGACGAGAAUGGAUUCAAGUGCCAUACUAUGUCGGAGUCUCAUCAAAGACAGCUGCUUCUCUUCGCUGAUAACGCUUCUAAAUACAUCGAUCAGUUCUCUAAAGAGUUUGCCGAUGGCUACAUAGAGCUGCUACGCCGUCAGUUUGGCACUAAAAGAGUGAACGCAAAUAAAGUGUACCAGGAUUAUAUAUCUAACAGAGAUCAUCUCCACAUGAACGCAACACAAUGGGAGACUCUCACAGAGUUUGUCAAGUGGCUGGGACGAGAAGGCAAGUGUGUUGUAGACGAGACGGAAAAGGGGUGGUUCGUCGCGUACAUCGACCGGGACCCAGCGGCCAUCGCUGCCCAGGAGGCUAAAGCGAAGAAGGAGAAGAUGGAUAAGGAUGAUCAGGAGAGGAUGCUGGAGUUCAUCCAGAAGCAAGUAGAACGUGGGAAGAAAGAGAGUACCAGGGCGGAGGAGCCUUCAUACUCUGAGUUUAAGAGGGAAAGCAGCCAGGAGAGAGUCACACUCAAUCUCAACCUCAAGAGAAAGACUGAAGAUAAGAAACCCGAACUCUCCGCUUCGGCGUUAAAACUAAAGAACAAAGAAGAAUCUUCUAGCAAGAAACAGAAGACGGAAGAAGGUAAGAGCAGAUCCUCGGCGCUGGAUGACAUCAUGAAGAUGGAAGAACGUGCGAAAGAGAAAGCUAAUCGCAAGGACCACUGGCUGGCUGAGGGCAUCGUAGUGAAGAUUGUAACAAAGUCCCUUGGUGACAAGUUUUACAAGCGGAAAGGUGUUGUGGAGAAAGUUGUGGACUUGUACGGGGCCCAGGUGCGGCUGGUCGAUGAGAAGACGCGGCUGAAGCUGGAUCAGAACCAUCUAGAGACAGUAAUCCCGUCCCAGGGGCGGGCGGUGCGGUUCGUGAACGGCGCAUACCGCGGGGAGGUCGGGGCCAUGCGGGACAUAGACACUGACAACUUCUGCUGCGAUGUCGAGAUAUCAGAAGGGCCGCUGACGGGUCGCCUUGUCAAGAAUGUUCAGUACGAAGAUAUAAGCAAGUUGGCCACGUAAAAUAGUACACAUAACACCAAUAUAAGCUGCAAUCAAAGAGCAAAAGUUCAGUCACUGAGCCCAGCGACUUAUUUGUAAACAGUGGUGAAAUUAUGAACCAUUAGUUGUGAUCACAGGAUUUUAAGGAGAAACAAGGAAACGAUGUUGUCAGCACGGUGUCGGUUUUAAUAGAGAGAAAAAUAUGUUCGCAUAAAUACCAGGCGGCGCUCGGGUGCCAUCGAUAUAAACUAGCGACAUCUAUUGUACAGUAGGUUCUAGAUACGUUGGUACCCCUUCGAAUUCCCAUACUAACUAGCGGCAUCUAUCGCCGAUGGCAGGUUACCAUUAGGAAUUCCCUCCAUUCAAUGACAGAUGGCGCUGCUCGUAAUUCCGCUACUCGCGGCUAGGUGGCGCUGCUCGUAAUUCCGCUACUCGCGGCUAGGUGGCGCUGCUCGUAAUUCCGCUACUCGCAGCUAGGUGGCGCUGCUCGUAAUUCCGCUACUCGCGGCUAGGUGGCGCUGCUGGUAAUUCCGCUACUCGCGGCUAGGUGGCGCUACAUGUCACACAACAGGGAAAUAUGGAGAAAUCAAAUUUUAAUAAUUAUAUAAUUAUGCUGUCUUGUGACAGUUGUCAUAAUUAUAAAAUGUAUAUUUUGUAGGUGGUCUAUUACAGAAACGACAUGUAACUAUGUGUGUGACAUGUGGUCUUAAGUGCAACCAGUUAAUUUAUUAUUUUCCAAGAAAUUGAUUGGACUUUUGCAGCUCAUCGUACAUCCAUCGCAAGAUGAACUAAGCGCCCACGCCUCACCGAGUUUUCUGUUAGACCAACGUGAUAGGUGAGCCGUACCGCCGUCUAUAAUGGUCGAGCCAACUGUGUUAGUGAAAACUGCACUUGAGAUAAAUUAAUAACUCAUUGGUGCAAGUCUAGUAUCGGGGUUCAAGCCGACCCGACAUGAACCGAAAUGUAAUUAUUAUUUAAUUAAUAAGGGGGGUUAAAAUGGCCACAUCGAAGCGAUUCAUCUAAGAAAGCAAUAUUGCAAUUUGACAUUUGCGCAAUGCAAACUAAUGUCAAAUAGCUAUGUUACUUUCUUAGAUGAAUCGCUUCGAUGUGGCCAUUUUAAUCCCCAAGUUAGUGUUAUUAAUAAUAGAUUUUAUAUUUUAU
rnacentral:misc_RNA from 1 species